rnacentral:rRNA from 1 species
UACGUAGGGACCAAGCGUUGUUCGGAUUUACUGGGCGUAAAGGGCGCGUAGGCGGACAGUUUAGUCAGAGGUGAAAGCCCCAGGGCUCAACCUUGGAAUUGCCUUUAAUACUGGCUGUCUUGAGUUCGGGAGAGGUGAGUGGAAUGCCGAGUGUAGAGGUGAAAUUCGUAGAUAUUCGCAAGAACACCAGUGGCGAAGGCGGCUCACUGGCCCGGUACUGACGCUGAGGUGCGAAAGCGUGGGGAGCAAACAGGAUUAGAUACCCCAGUA